rnacentral:misc_RNA from 1 species
UGGGGCGGGAUCGUGCUGGUGCUCCCGUCCCCGGUGAAGCCGCUUGCGGGCGCGGAAGACUAUGCAACACGCCUCAUCAGGCGCGCAAUCGGUUAUCAUGUGAGUCUCAAAGUAUGAGCGGAAGGAUACAGG